rnacentral:pre_miRNA from 1 species
CAGAGCUUAGCUGAUUGGUGAACAGUGAUUGUUGUUGCUUUGUUCACAGUGGCUAAGUUCUGCA